UGCGGCGUAGCUCAAUGGAGACCAGAGCGCUCGUCUUGUAAAUGAGAAGAUGUGGGUUCAACUCCCACCGCCGCAGCCA
rnacentral:tRNA from 1 species